UACGAAGGGGGCUAGCGUUGCUCGGAAUCACUGGGCGUAAAGCGCACGUAGGCGGAUCUUUAAGUCAGGGGUGAAAUCCUGGAGCUCAACUCCAGAACUGCCUUUGAUACUGGGGAUCUCGAGUCCGGAAGAGGUGAGUGGAACUCCGAGUGUAGAGGUGAAAUUCGUAGAUAUUCGGAAGAACACCAGUGGCGAAGGCGGCUAUCUGGUCCAAUUCUGACGCUGAGGCGCGAAAGGUAGGGGAGCAAACAGG
rnacentral:rRNA from 1 species